rnacentral:rRNA from 1 species
AGAGGGGGCAAGCGUUGUUCGGAAUUACUGGGCGUAAAGGGCGCGUAGGCGGCCUGUUAAGUCGAACGUGAAAUCCCCGGGCUCAACCCGGGAGCUGCGUCCGGUACUGGCAGGCUUGAAUCCGGGAGAGGGAUGUGGAAUUCCAGGUGUAGCGGUGAAAUGCGUAGAUAUCUGGAGGAACACCGGUGGCGAAGGCGGCAUCCUGGACCGGUAUUGACGCUGAGGCGCGAAAGCCAGGGGAGCAAACGGGAUUAGAUACCCCGGUAGUCCUGGCCCUAAACGAUGAAUGCUUGGUGUGGCGGGUAUCGAUCCCUGCCGUGCCGAAGCUAACGCAUUAAGCAUUCCGCCUGGGGAGUACGGUCGCAAGGCUG